rnacentral:tRNA from 1 species
GAUGCCAAGAUGGCUGCCAUUCAUGCACCCGAGGACA